CAAAAAUUACAAUUGAAAUACAACGCGUUUUUCUUUUUCAGGGUCAAAAACAGAGGAGUAAAAUUUUAAAAAUGGUUUGAUUUUCAUUUUAUAUUUCGAAUAACAAAAAAAUAAAAUCACCAGAAAACAGAAACGAAAAAAGGCCCAUUUUUUAUAUUCUGAGACCGGAUGUGGUCAUUUACAUGACAAGAGCACCAAAUUUGAGAUUGUGCCAAUGUCUUUAGCCCAGUCUAAAAUGUCUUUGGAACCGUACUCAGUUAUGAUAAUAGAUAUGGCAAAACAAGGCCUGUCAUCUGCAGAAAUCUCUGUGCGGAUAUCACACGAAAGUGGGGGAGCAAGAGGAUGUUCUGCAAGAAAUGUGAGGAGAUUUUGCGCUGAAAAGUUUGAUGGGACUCCCCGACACGCAUUUGGAGUUAGAGGUGGCAAAAGCUAUAACCGAGACGGGACCUACAUAUGGAAGAAGGAUGAUAAAGGGUUAUCUCGAGAUGAAAGGAGUGCAUGCUGCAGAGACUCGAAUUGGAACAGUGCUCAGAACUAUGUAUCAGUCUUACCAUGAAGCAAGACAUCAGGCCUGCAGUACUUGAAUAUGGUAUAUGGGACCAGCUGGGAGUAGAUCAUGGCAAGGAGUUUUAUUUGACACCCUUCAUGCCAGAGCUGCUGACAUCUCAUCACCUUAAUCAGGAGAGAAGGCCUUAUUUACAGACUUCAUCAACAAGGGGUGUAUACCUGCCUUAUUCCGAGUGACCUCACGAUAGUCCUGAAACCCACCUGUGCCCUGACCAAGAUAAAGCGGAUACUGAAAAUGUCUGAAUCAGUAAAAUUGUGUAGUCAUAUGUCUUCCAGCAAUAAAAAUUCAUCCUAAAUCAGUUUAACUUUUUAAAAUUAUAUUAUAUUAAUCUUUAUAUUAUUCUGUAUAAUAACCUUUUGUUCUAUGUUCAUGUAAAGCUGCUUUGAGACGAUGUCAAUUACAAAAAGCACUAUACAAAUAAAUUUGAAUUGAAUUGCAUUGAAUUAACUUUGAGUGAAACAUUUUAAUAAGUAUAUCUUGUUGCAUUAAAGAAAACGUUACUUUUGUCUGUGUUUUUCAGCAAACCGAACAACCCACAUAAAAUAGCAGUAAAUGUACUGUAGUAACCUUAAUGAAAAUCUUGUUAAGCCUCUCUACACCAUUUACAACACACUAACGGAAGUGUUAACGUGAUGUGUGGACCUUUAACCAGAUUGGACCUGUCUAAGGGGAAAUUACUUGACCAUGAAUCACACAUCUUUCAGAAAGCUACAGCAAGCUUGCUCAAUUACUCUAGAACAUACCAGAAAUAUUUUUAGAGUCCCAAACAAUAUUAAUGCUCGUGCUUUAUGCCGGUAUUUAUUUAUGCCACACCAAACCAAUCCUUUAUCAUAUCCAUGCAAUGGGAGUGACCACACCGCAGUUUAAACACAGAUCUGUUCCAUUUAAUACCUCAUAGGCUACUGUAGACCACUAGUUUAAGGAAAAGUACAGUCUAGUACCUUUAGUCUAUAAAACACACACAUA